GAUCCUGGCUCAGAAUCAACGCUGGCGGCGCGCUUAACACAUGCAAGUCGCACGAGAAAGGGGGCAACCCUGAGUAAAGUGGCGCACGGGUGAGUAACACGUGGAUCAUCUACCUUUUAGUGGGGAAUACCCCUGGGAAACCGGGGAUAAUACCGCAUAAGCUCGUGAGAGGAAAGCCGAAAGGCGCUGAAAGAGGAGUCCGCGGCUGAUUAGCUAGUUGGUGAGGUAACGGCCCACCAAGGCGAAGAUCGGUAGCCGGCCUGAGAGGGCACACGGCCACACUGGCACUGAAACACGGGCCAGACUCCUACGGGAGGCA
rnacentral:rRNA from 1 species